rnacentral:misc_RNA from 1 species
CUCCUUGUCAUCCUGGAAAUAAAAGCACCAAACUAUUAUAUAGAUUUUUGCAAUGAGUGUAAUAUUAUUCACUAAGGCAACAAUGUCAAUGGCAUGCUUGUCAACAUCUAUUUGCUUCAAAAUUGAUGAGUAUGAUAUUGAUGAAUAGAGUAUUACACGUCCAAUAGUAGGAAAGUAGAAGAGCUCAUACAUUACAACUAAAUUCUCAGAAAUGAAAGGGACAAAUAUACUAACAUUGUCUGAAAUUUUCAAAUUUUGACAAUUUAAUAUCUUUCUGAAUGAAGAAAUUUAUUUCAAUUAGGUACAUUUGACAGGAUUUUGUCACAGAAAAACUAGAAUACACAUUUUACCCCUAUAAACGCUAUCACCCUCUAAUUCUAGUUCAAUUCUACUUUUCAAACCUAUUCGCAUUAAAGCUUUUUGCUUGGAUGCCCAAAUUCCUACUCAUUCUAGCCUUUCAAAUAAGUCCAAAAAUCCAGCAAGCUAUCCUAUGUCAGUUUGGCAUCAGAGCUUCAAGAUCUAUGAAGUUUGUUGCUUUAAUUCUUAUCAGCUAUGGUGGCAACCAAAGUUUUAUUCUCUUCAUCAAGAAAAUAAAGAUACAAAAAUAAGAUUGGAUUCAAGGAAAGCCGAAAGGGAUAAGAAUUUCUUAAGAUUGUGUCUAAUAUUAACUCUUAACAAGUAACCAAUGAGAGCAACGACUGGUACGAUCCUUUCUCAAAAAGAACUCAAGAGGGAUUGUCAAAAUACCUAGGCAAGAGAGGUGACCAUUUCAACCACAAGAUUUGAAGGAUGACAUCACUAUGAAAAGUUGACAGGCAUGUUAUGUUCUGCACUGUUUUGUGAUUGGCUCAAUUCCAUAAAUCAUACUUUGAUUGGCAUGGCAUGGGGGAAGAUCAUAAUGAGAAGAAGCUUAUUGGAG